CCCUUAGAUGUUCUGGGCGGCCCGCGCACUACAAUGGCGCUUUCAGCGAGUCCCUAUGUUGAAUUUUCCUGGGUAUUCUUGGAAGCGGCGUCUUGACUUGGGAUAGAUCCUUGUAAUUGUUGGUUUUGAACGAGGAAUUCCUUGUAAUCGCGGUUGAUCAGCUCGCGUUGAAUACGUCCCUGCCCUUUGUACACACCGCCCGUCGCUCCUACCGAUGAAUCGUCCGGUGAAGUUCACAGAGUGGCGGUUCGUGGAGUUGCUCGCGAAGUGAAAUGGACCUCACGAUUUAGAGGAAGGAGAAGUCGUAACA
rnacentral:rRNA from 1 species